rnacentral:rRNA from 1 species
GCCAUGCAUGUCUCAGUACAAGCCAAAUUAAGGUGAAACCGCGAAAGGCUCAUUAAAUCAGUUAUGGUUCCUUAGAUCGUACCCACAUUUACUUGGAUAACUGUGGUAAUUCUAGAGCUAAUACAUGCAAACAGAGCUCCAACCAGAGAUGGAAGGAGCGCUUUUAUUAGAUCAAAACCAAUCGGUGGUGGUUUUACAAUCAUCAUCGUAUAAUUUGGUGACUCUGAAUAACUUUAAGCUGAUCGCACGGUCUCGCACCGGCGACGCAUCUUUCAAAUGUCUGCCUUAUCAACUUUCGAUGGUAGGUUCUGCGCCUACCAUGGUUGUAACGGGUAACGGGGAAUCAGGGUUCGAUUCCGGAGAGGGAGCCUGAGAAACGGCUACCACAUCCAAGGAAGGCAGCAGGCGCGCAAAUUACCCACUCCCGGCACGGGGAGGUAGUGACGAAAAAUAACGAUACGGGACUCAUCCGAGGCCCCGUAAUCGGAAUGAGUACACUCUAAACCCUUUAACGAGGAUCAAUUGGAGGGCAAGUCUGGUGCCAGCAGCCGCGGUAAUUCCAGCUCCAAUAGCGUAUAUUAAAGUUGUUGCGGUUAAAAAGCUCGUAGUCGAAUCUGUGUUUCGCGCCGACGGUUCAUCGUUCGCGGUGUCAACUGUCGUGCCGCGAAACGUCCUGCCGGUGGGCUUAGCUCGCAAGGGCGGCCCAACUCAAUCCCGCCGCGGUGCUCUUCAUUGAGUGUCGAGGAGGGCCGGCACGUUUACUUUGAACAAAUUAGAGUGCUUAAAGCAGGCUAAAAUUUUGCCUGAAUACUGUGUGCAUGGAAUAAUGGAAUAGGACCUCGGUUCUAUUUUGUUGGUUUUCGGAACCCCGAGGUAAUGAUUAAUAGGAACGGAUGGGGGCAUUCG